rnacentral:sRNA from 1 species
UAAAAUCACGGUAUCCUCGUUGUCCUUGCCGCUCAAUACUUG